GACGAACGCUGGCGGCGUGCCUAAUACAUGCAAGUCGAACGAACUCUGGUAUUGAUUGGUGCUUGCAUCAUGAUUUACAUUUGAGUGAGUGGCGAACUGGUGAGUAACACGUGGGAAACCUGCCCAGAAGCGGGGGAUAACACCUGGAAACAGAUGCUAAUACCGCAUAACAACUUGGACCGCAUGGUCCGAGCUUGAAAGAUGGCUUCGGCUAUCACUUUUGGAUGGUCCCGCGGCGUAUCAGCUAGAUGGUGGGGUAACGGCUCACCAUGGCAAUGAUACGUAGCCGACCUGAGAGGGUAAUCGGCCACAUUGGGACUGAGACACGGCCCAAACUCCUACGGGAGGCAGCAGUAGGGAAUCUUCCACAAUGGACGAAAGUCUGAUGGAGCAACGCCGCGUGAGUGAAGAAGGGUUUCGGCUCGUAAAACUCUGUUGUUAAAGAAGAACAUAUCUGAGAGUAACUGUUCAGGUAUUGACGGUAUUUAACCAGAAAGCCACGGCUAACUACGUGCCAGCAGCCGCGGUAAUACGUAGGUGGCAAGCGUUGUCCGGAUUUAUUGGGCGUAAAGCGAGCGCAGGCGGUUUUUUAAGUCUGAUGUGAAAGCCUUCGGCUCAACCGAAGAAGUGCAUCGGAAACUGGGAAACUUGAGUGCAGAAGAGGACAGUGGAACUCCAUGUGUAGCGGUGAAAUGCGUAGAUAUAUGGAAGAACACCAGUGGCGAAGGCGGCUGUCUGGUCUGUAACUGACGCUGAGGCUCGAAAGUAUGGGUAGCAAACAGGAUUAGAUACCCUGGUAGUCCAUACCGUAAACGAUGAAUGCUAAGUGUUGGAGGGUUUCCGCCCUUCAGUGCUGCAGCUAACGCAUUAAGCAUUCCGCCUGGGGAGUACGGCCGCAAGGCUGAAACUCAAAGGAAUUGACGGGGGCCCGCACAAGCGGUGGAGCAUGUGGUUUAAUUCGAAGCUACGCGAAGAACCUUACCAGGUCUUGACAUACUAUGCAAAUCUAAGAGAUUAGACGUUCCCUUCGGGGACAUGGAUACAGGUGGUGCAUGGUUGUCGUCAGCUCGUGUCGUGAGAUGUUGGGUUAAGUCCCGCAACGAGCGCAACCCUUAUUAUCAGUUGCCAGCAUUAAGUUGGGCACUCUGGUGAGACUGCCGGUGACAAACCGGAGGAAGGUGGGGAUGACGUCAAAUCAUCAUGCCCCUUAUGACCUGGGCUACACACGUGCUACAAUGGAUGGUACAACGAGUUGCGAACUCGCGAGAGUAAGCUAAUCUCUUAAAGCCAUUCUCAGUUCGGAUUGUAGGCUGCAACUCGCCUACAUGAAGUCGGAAUCGCUAGUAAUCGCGGAUCAGCAUGCCGCGGUGAAUACGUUCCCGGGCCUUGUACACACCGCCCGUCACACCAUGAGAGUUUGUAACACCCAAAGUCGGUGGGGUAACCUUUUAGGAACCAGCCGCCUAAGGUGGGACAGAUGAUUAGGGUG
rnacentral:rRNA from 1 species